rnacentral:rRNA from 1 species
UACGAAGGGGGCUAGCGUUGUUCGGAAUUACUGGGCGUAAAGCGCACGUAGGCGGACUAUUAAGUCAGGGGUGAAAUCCCGGGGCUCAACCCCGGAACUGCCUUUGAUACUGGUAGUCUCGAGUCCGGAAGAGGUGAGUGGGAUUCCGAGUGUAGAGGUGAAAUUCGUAGAUAUUCGGAGGAACACCAGUGGCGAAGGCGGCUCACUGGUCCGGUACUGACGCUGAGGUGCGAAAGCGUGGGGAGCAAACAGG